GGCCUGGUUGGGUGGUCUUGCCGCAAGGUAAGCACUGCUCCGAUCGGGUCUUUCCUUCUGGGGAACCAGCGUGCUCUUAAUUGGGUGCGUUGGGGAUCCAGGACUUUUACUUUGAAAAAAUUAGAGUGUUUAAAGCAGGCUUUCAAGCUUGAACAUAUUAGCAUGGAAUAAUGAAAUAGG
rnacentral:rRNA from 1 species